ACGGGUGAGUAACGCGUGGUCAACCUACCGUUGAGUGGGGGAUAACUAGCCGAAAGGUUAGCUAAUACCGCAUACGUCUCCGAGGGGCAUCCCUUGGCGAUAAAAGGAGCAAUCCGCUCGAUGACGGGACCGCGUCCCAUUAGCUAGAUGGUGGGGUAACGGCCUACCAUGGCACCGAUGGGUAGCUGGUUUGAGAGAGCGACCAGCCACACUGGGACUGAGAAACGGUCCAG
rnacentral:rRNA from 1 species